GACGAACGCUGGCGGCGUGCCUAAUACAUGCAAGUCGAACGAAGCUGUUUUAACUGGUGCUUGCACCGACUUAAACAACUGAGUGGCGAACGGGUGAGUAACACGUGGGUAACCUGCCCCAAAGCGGGGGAUAACAUUUGGAAACAGAUGCUAAUACCGCAUAACCACAGAAACCACAUGGUUUCUGUGUCAAAGAUGGUUUCGGCUAUCACUUUGGGAUGGACCCGCGGCGUAUUAGCUAGUUGGUAAGGUAAUGGCUUACCAAGGCAAUGAUACGGAGCCGAACUGAGAGGUUAAUCGGCCACAUAGGGACUGAGAAACGGCCCAAACUCCUACGGGAGGCAGCAGUAGGGAAUCUUCCACAAUGGACGAAAGUCUGAUGGGGCAACGCCGCGUGAGUGAAGAAGGUUUUCGGAUCGUAAAACUCUGUUGUCAGAGAAGAACGUGUGCGAGAGUAACUGCUCGUGCAGUGACGGUAUCUGGCCAGAAAGCCACGGCUAACUACGUGCCAGCCGCCGCUGUAA
rnacentral:rRNA from 1 species